rnacentral:rRNA from 1 species
GGCGGCGUGCUUAACACAUGCAAGUCGAGCGGAAAGGCCCCUUCGGGGGUACUCGAGCGGCGAACGGGUGAGUAACACGUGAGCAACCUGCCCCUGACUCUGGGAUAAGCCCGGGAAACUGGGUCUAAUACCGGAUAUAACCACUUGGUCUCAUGGCCGGGUGGUGGAAAGUUUUUUCGGUUGGGGAUGGGCUCGCGGCCUAUCAGCUUGUUGGUGGGGUGAUGGCCUACCAAGGCGACGACGGGUAACCGGCCUGAGAGGGCGACCGGUCACACUGGGACUGAGACACGGCCCAGACUCCUACGGGAGGCAGCAGUGGGGAAUAUUGCGCAAUGGGCGGAAGCCUGACGCAGCGACGCCGCGUGAGGGAUGACGGCCUUCGGGUUGUAAACCUCUUUCAGCAGGGACGAAGCUAACGUGACGGUACCUGCAGAAGAAGCGCCGGCUAACUACGUGCCAGCAGCCGCGGUAAUACGUAGGGCGCAAGCGUUGUCCGGAAUUAUUGGGCGUAAAGAGCUCGUAGGCGGUUUGUCGCGUCUGUCGUGAAAGCCCACGGCUUAACCGUGGGUCUGCGGUGGAUACGGGCAGACUAGAGGCAGGUAGGGGAGAAUGGAAUUCCCGGUGUAGCGGUGAAAUGCGCAGAUAUCGGAAGGAACACCGGUGGCGAAGGCGGUUCUCUGGGCCUGUACUGACGCUGAGGAGCGAAAGCGUGGGGAGCGAACAGGAUUAGAUACCCUGGUAGUCCACGCCGUAAACGUUGGGCGCUAGGUGUGGGGUUCUUCCACGGAUUCCGCGCCGUAGCUAACGCAUUAAGCGCCCCGCCUGGGGAGUACGGCCGC